rnacentral:rRNA from 1 species
UCCGGUGGUUCCGCAUGGAAGGGCCAUCGCUCAACGGAUAAAAGCUACCCCGGGGAUAACAGGCUUAUCUCCCCCAAGAGUCCACAUCGACGGGGAGGUUUGGCACCUCGAUGUCGGCUCAUCGCAUCCUGGGGCUGUAGUCGGUCCCAAGGGUUGGGCUGUUCGCCCAUUAAAGCGGUACGCGAGCUGGGUUCAGAACGUCGUGAGACAGUUCGGUCCCUAUCCGUCGCGGGCGCAGGAAAUUUGAGAGGAGCUGUCCUUAGUACGAGAGGACCGGGAUGGACGCACCGCUGGUGUACCAGUUGUUCUGCCAAGGGCAUCGCUGGGUAGCUAUGUGCGGACGGGAUAAGUGCUGAAAGCAUCUAAGCAUGAAGCCCCCCUCAAGAUGAGAUUUCCCAUUCCGCAAGGAAGUAAGAUCCCUGAAAGAUGAUCAGGUUGAUAGGUCUGAGGUGGAAGUGUGGCGACACAUGGAGCUGACAGAUACUAAUCGAUCGAGGACUUAACCUAAA